rnacentral:rRNA from 1 species
UGAGGAAUCUUCCACAAUGGGCGAAAGCCUGAUGGAGCAACGCCGCGUGAAGGAUGAAGGUCUUCGGAUUGUAAACUUCUUUUAUAAGUGAAGAAUAUGACGGUAACUUAUGAAUAAGCACCGGCUAACUACGUGCCAGCAGCCGCGGUCAUACGUAGGGUGCAAGCAUUAUCCGGAGUGACUGGGCGUAAAGAGUUGCGUAGGCGGCAUGACAAGCGAAUAGUGAAAGCUGGUGGCUCAACCACACAGAUUGCUACUCGAACUGUCAAGCUCGAGAAUGGUAGAGGUAACUGGAAUUUCUUGUGUAGGAGUGAAAUCCGUAGAUAUAAGAAGGAACACCAAUGGCGUAGGCAGGUUACUGGACCAUUUCUGACGCUAAGGCACGAAAGCGUGGGGAGCGAACCGG